rnacentral:lncRNA from 1 species
CUCAAGAAAAUGACGAAGAACUCGUUGGUGAUAAAACUCCAUAUCUUAGUGCAAUUGGGGCAUUGAUGUUUCUUGCUAACAAUACCCGACCAGAUAUUGCUUUUGCAGUAAGCUUAUUAGCAAGAUUCAGUUCCUUCCCAACAAGAAGACAUUGGAUUGGUGCUAAGCAUAUAUUUAGAUAUCUUUGGGGAACUCUAGAUAUGAGACUGUUUUAUUCUAAUGAAUUCAAGUCAGAAAUGAUUGGCUAUACCGAUGCAAGUUAUUUGUCUGAUCCACAUAAAGCCCGAUCUCAAAAAGGCUAUUUGUUUACAUACGGAGGUACAACUAUAUCAUGGCGUUAAAUGAAACAAACAAUAGCUGCCACAUCUUCAAAUCAUGUUGAGAUAAUAGUCAUUCAUGAAGCUAGUCGGGAAUGUCCGGUAGCUACCUCAAAAUCUCCUGAAAAUCAACUGCAUGAAAUGAUCAACACCCGCUAUGUCCGGGAACACCUGAAUCUGCACAUGAAGUGCAGGGUGUAGUAUGAGUACAAUCAACUCAGCAAGUAACAAUAAUAACUAAGGAACUGAAGAUAAUGACGAGCUACACAGUUAUAGUUCACUUUCAGUAAUUCCAGCAAAGAAUAGACAUGCUUUCAAAUCCGGCAGUUUAAGUCAAAUCAAUUUUUAUACAGUUCAAGUUCAUGUAAUCCAGAUAUAAAAUCUUUUAGAGAUUUCACAACAAUGACAGAUAGCAACCAAGUGUAACAACAAAUGCAAAGCAAGUACAACCUCUCAGACAACAAUCACUCAACUCAUCACCACAACUCAACUACUCGGCUCUCAUCCCCCAGCACUCACACUCAAUGGGUACCCGCGCUCACUGGGGGUGUACAGACUCUGGAGGGGCUCCUACAGCCCAAGCGCCAUAAUCUGCACGGACAACUCACGUGCCAUGAUAUCCUUACCACACUGACAGUCCCUCAGCCUUACUCAUUCCUUAACCUCUCUAGUCUCUCGGCUCUUAGAAAUCACAAAGAACAGCCCAAACAAAGAUAACAUAAUGCAUCAACAAAUAUAAAAAAAGAUUGAGGUAUGAUACGCAAGUAAAAUAAUGACUGAGCAUAAGAUAGAAAUUAGAAAAUAAUUCAANNNNNNNNNNNNNNNNNNNNNNNNNNNNNNNNNNNNNNNNNNNNNNNNNNNNNNNNNNNNNNNNNNNNNNNNNNNNNNNNNNNNNNNNNNNNNNNNNNNNNNNNNNNNNNNNNNNNNNNNNNNNNNNNNNNNNNNNNNNNNNNNNNNNNNNNNNNNNNNNNNNNNNNNNNNNNNNNNNNNNNNNNNNNNNNNNNNNNNNNNNNNNNNNNNNNNNNNNAACAAUAAAUUAUUCAACCAUACAGUUUUCACGGAACGGACCAAGUCCCAAUCCCCUCGGUGCACGCACACACGCCCAUCACCUAGCAUGUGUGUCACCUCCAAAAUAAUCACAUGACACAAAAUCCUGGGUUCCAUACCCUCAGGACCAGAUUUAUAACUGUUACUUACCUCAAAACGUGAAAUUCCCUACUCUGCUAUGCCUUUUCCUCGCAAAUCGGCCUCCUAAUGCCUCGAAUCUAGUCACAAAUAAUUCAUUUCAGUCAAAAAAAUUUAUUGGAAUUAAUUUCAUAAGAAAAUACUAAUUUUCCAUAAAAAUCCAAAAUUUAGCUCAAAAAUCGCAUGUGGGGCCCACGUUUCGGAACUCGACAAAAGUUACAAAAUCCGAAAGACCAUUCAACCACAAGUCUAAUCAUACCAAUUUUACCAAAAUUCGACCUCAACUCAGCCCUCAAAUCUACAAAUCUUAUUUCCAAUUUUCUAAGUUCCAAUCUCCGAUUUACACCUCAAAAUCAUGUAAUCUAGUCGGAUUAUUCAAUGAUAAUUCAAUAUUAUGAAGUAGAAAUGAUCACAAGGGACUUACCUCAAGUUUUCCUUGAAAAUCUAUCAAAAAUCGUCUCUCCUCAAGGUACAAUUUUGUCAAAAUGGCGAAUGGGACGAAGUCACUGGUUUAUAAUUCUGCCCAGACAGCCUCGGUUUUGCCUCGAUCUUGGCCUUCGAUUUUGGCCUUCGAUCGAGGUUCUCGAUCCUGGGCCUCGAUUCUUACCCUCGAUCUUGGAUCUCGAUCAUGGCCCUCGACCCUGGCCUUCGACCCUCCCUUUGAUCGUGGCCCUCGACCCUGGUCUUCGACCCUGCCUUCGAUCAUGACCCUCGACCAUGGGCUCGAUCAUGGCUUGAUUUUGGGCUCGAUUCUGGGCUCGAAUCUGGCAGAAGAUAUUUCCAGCAGAAGGAAAUUGCAGCAGUUGUUGUAGUUCAAAUUUGGAUCUAUUAACCAUCCGAAACUCAUAUGAGGCCCUCGAGAUCUCAAUAAAAUAUACCAACAAGUACUAAAACAUCAUAAGAACUUAUAAGAAUCCUCAAAUCACCUCAAACAAUGCUAAAACCAUGAAUUACGCCCCAAUUCAAGCCUAUUGAACUUUUAAAUUUCUAAUUUCUACAAAUGACUCCGGAACCUGUCAAAUCAUGCCUCAUUGACCUCAAAUUUUGCACACAAGUCAUAAAUAAUAUAACGAAGGUAUUCAAAUUUUCAGAAUCGGAUUCCGACCCCGAUAUCAAAAAGUCAAUCCCCCGGUCAAACUUCCCAAAAAUUCAAAUUUCGACAUUUCAAGUCUAUAUCCACUAUGGACCUCCGAAUAAUCUUUCAGACACGCUCCUAAGUCCAAAAUUACCAUACGGAGCUAUUGGAAUCAUCAAAAUUCAAAUCCGAGGUCGUUUACACAUAGGUCCAUAUCCGGUCAACUUUUCUAACUUAAAUUUUCAAUUAUGAGACUAAGUGUCUCAUUUCACUCCUAAUUCCUUCCGGACUCGAACCAACUAACCCGAUAAGUCAUAAAUCAAUUACAAGGCAUAUAUUGAGCAGUAAAUAGGGGAACGGGGUGAAAAUAUUCAAAACGAUCGGCCGGGUCAUUAUAGGUUUUUAACGAAGUAGCAAAUAAAGAGUAUUACAGAUAUGUGUACUCUUUUUCCUUCACUAAGAUUUUUUCCCACAUGAUUUUUUCUUAGUAAGAUUUUAACGAGGCAUAUUAUCUAUUUUUGGACAUCCAAGGGGGAGUGUUGUAAAACCUAUAGUAAUUGUGGAUGUCCACUACUCCCACUACUUUCACUCAUGAUGUAAAUAACCUCCCACUACUCAUCACUAUUAUGAUUGUAACUCACACACUUCCAUAACCACUCCCCAUGAUCUUUCACUAUGAUCUCAAUUGUUAAUGUCAUGUUUAAGAUAAUCCUUUUGUAACCUUCUAUGUAAUAGUAUAAAUAGAGGCAUGAAAUGUGAUAUGGGAUACACUUGAACAAUUGAUGAAAUAAGAAAGUUAUCUCUUCUUCUCUUAUUCUACUUAUCUUCUUGUUUUAUAUUGUUACUUUGAGCUACAUUUCUUAAUACUUUCACCAUAUCCCUUGAUGUUUUGUUUUCUCUUUUUGUACUUCAUUCUUAUCAUUUUAUAUAAUAUUAUUUGAUUAAAUACUGAGUUUAAUAUGUUAAACGUCCUCGUACUAUAUUAAUAAUAGUGGAAUAUAUAUAUAUAUAUAUAUAUAUAUAUAUAUAUAUAUGAAAAUUGCAAUGGUAACAAAGCAAUCGCACGUGCAUUAUAUGUCGAGCAUUUUUCUGGGUCUUUAAUCUAAACUAAAUACUUUAAUCUUUAUAUAUAUGUUAGUGUAGGGAUGAUUAAAAUGAAGUAGUGUGGCAUGAGUGUUACUGUUUACCCGUAAAACGAUAUAGUUUAAUUUGGUACGUAGUUUAUAGACAAGCGAACUGAUUUGAUCCAAAAUGAUAAAUAAAUUAGAUUAAAAAUAAGACUUAGCGGUAAAAUCAAAGGAAAUAGAAGGCCUGGCUCUAGGAGUGAUGUUUCCGAGGACAGAAAUAAGAAUAAUAUCAAACCAUUGUUGAAUAUGUAACGACAGGCUAUGAAUGCCAAAUUUCUCUGCAACAACUGUCCAUUUAAUACUAGGGAAUAUUCUUCAUUAAAUUCCAUAUGGUGACAAACAUUCAACCUGCUCACGUUGAUCAUGUUUCCCUCAUGGUUUAUCUGGUGCCAACUAUAGUUGUUGUUCCUGGUGCUGGUUCUCACUUGAUUUCUCUUUCAUACGUAUCAGGUUCCACGUGUCGUCCUAUCAUUUGAUCAUUUAAUAUAAGUCAAUUUUACCCUAUACUGAUAGUCCCUCUACUUUUCGGUGACACAUUUUUGUGUUAUCGGGAAGUUGGUGAAGAUUCCUUUCUUGGCGGAAAAUCUUUCUGAAACCUUCUGAACAGUCUUUGACGCUUGAUAGAACGCACGUCUAUUCGCAUUUAAUACCCAGAACACGUAUUGCCCCACAAUUCAGUAAUAUUUUUGCCGGUUCUCGAGGUACUCAUGGCCAUGAUUUCUGCUGUCUAUAUAUUUACUUAUACUCAUAAUUUUACCUCUUUGAUAUUGAUGUUGAUCCUCCUACGCUGAGCACCAUCAUACCCAUACACUUAAGCAUAAGGACUUCCAAGAGAAGUUCCCUUCCACGAAUCCUCAAACGUGGUAUGUUAGCAGGUAUCCCUCUUCUAUUCGUUCUUCCAGUAUUCCUAUUGUGAAGGACGAUUGUGACUGUUAUGACCUAAACAUCAUUGCUCCUGACCUAGUGGAGAGUGUUACCUUUACCAAGAAGGGUUUUACGUAUGUCUAUACGUAUCCCUUCACUUUGUGUCUAUUUUCUUUGAGUGAGGGGCUUGACCCCAUGAUCUUGUAAUUUUGCCAUCGGUACCAGGCCUGCUUGGCACAAGUGGGCCCUUAUGUAUCGCGAAUGGUGGCUUUCCUGCGCCAAUUGUUCACGGAGACUGGGAAAGCCCUAACCCUGGCACAUACGAUGAACCUCUACUCCCCAAAAUAUUUCGUGGGGGAGUAAUAAAUUUCAGCAAGCGUGGCCACCAUGCUCUGCUUACCAGCAUGGAUGAUGACAAUGACCGUGGGUGGAUGGAGCGAUUUUUUGUCAUUGCUAUCGUGCAUAAGUGGCCAGCCACAACUCCAUAUUUCCCUGAUCAUGGAGUCGAUCACGUAAGAUUGUCAUCUAAUUCUUUCUCCGUAAAUAGAAUGAUCCAUGUCAUUGCUAACCUUUUUGUUUCCGUUAUUUUAGCUACUCUGUGGACACCACCAUGGGUAGAAGGCCUGGACCAAUGGGUUCAAAAGAUUCCGGAUAUUACCAUGCCAGAUUGCCGUCGAUGGAAGGAACUGGAUCCCAAAUACGGGUGGAAGGCCAAGAACCACGGUAAACUUAUUCUUUAUUUCUUUUUUCCCUCUGUAAAUACAUAAGAAAACUUGCUAACCAUACAUUUUUACCUGAUUCAGCGCUCCCACAGGGUUCUAUUACCUGUCUCGGAGUCGAGUUUUUGGCCUAUCAUGCGGAGACUGUGAGGUUAUUUCAUGAAGCUCUUACUCGGAGCAGUGCUCUCGGGUCUGCCUCCCUCCCAGAUUCCUUACCCAGAGAACAAGCAACCACAAAUGCGGCAUUAUUUCUCGGUUGGGGAUAAAAAAAAAAGAAAAUAAAAAAGGUCACGCCUGAGCCGGCUGCAUCCACUGUGGUCAUUGAUGAUGACAUGAAAGCUAAUGAUGAAUAAUCCCCCCUUCAACGGAGAUAAUUCUAUUCAUCAGCUCAACAUAAUGCUCAAUUUGAAGCGCUUAGAACCCCAAUCGAAGGCGAGGUUUGAGCGCUUUGGGGAGAAAUGGAGAUUGUAGAGAAUGUCAAUUCUCACUUUCCGGUCCUAGUUACUGCUUCCGGUCCUGUGAGGUCGAGAACCAAGCCUCUUCUGCCUUUGGUUUAUGAGCAACCAAUAAUCAACACUACCUCUGUUGUAGCUGCUUCUCAACGUACAACACCAUCAGCUUCGUCCCCCUCUACACCAGCUCUACUUUCAUCACCAGCACCUGCUACAUCUCCUCCACCGGCCACUGAUGUCCAAGAAGAAGCUAUUUCUCCUCCCUAGUCUCCCGAUCAUGGGAAUUUAGGGCAUAAUUAUUCACCCCCUUCUCCGGAUCCUCGAGGAAGGAGGAGCGUCACUCUCUCAGUUUUGAAGGAGUGACAUUUGUUGUCCAGGUCGGUGGAGCUUGCCAAUUACCUGAAGACGUUGGCUUCAGAGAAAUAUAAGAAAAAGAUAUAUUCCCUCUCCGGGGAGUGUAUGUUGAACAACGCCAUGCAUAAUGCGACAUCGUUACCGUACUUGUUCACUUACUGUUUAUUUUUUGUUUAUCUGUUACAAUGGAUUUUCUGACUCUGGUAUACGGUUUGUAGACCAACUUCCUUACUUCCAAAGGAUUUCAGAUAUUGAUACUUGAUAAAGAAGGACUUAUGUCCUUGCGGGAUCAACUGUUGGUCGGGAGAAAUCAACUCACUGUGUGCCUCCCGGUGCUAGAGGCAAAGGUUGCUGAGGCAGAGGAGCUUAAGGCCUGGUUGCAGCAGAGUGAGAAGGAGGCAAUGGAUCAUAUUCAAGAAGCCACUCAUCUAUAUGCCCAACUUCAAGAUCCUAAGGCUAGGUGGGUUGAGUCUUAAGACGCUGCUCUAUCUGCUACCGAGCGCGAGUCUGCCUCCAUUGAAUGAGCAAAUAAUUUGGAGGCAUCCUUGACUCCAAAGUCGAAGAAUCUGCUGUUGCCGAGGAGAAGCAAGCUCAAAUGUAAGAUAAGUAUAAGAAGUUUAUGGAUCAAAACAGGGUUCACAUAUCUACAAUCUGUGAUCUUGAUCUUAGCCUUGGUGCCACGAGAUCCGAGUGGGAUGUCCUUUUGACCUAGGUUGACAGGCUUAAGACAAAGCUCCAGCACCUAGGGGAUUCCCUCGUCUUUGAAAAGACAUACUCUAUGUACUAUAUGAUGAGGAAAACCUUGGAAGAGGCCAAAGAGGGCGUUAUUGAUAUUGAUGAUGAGAUUACCAAGGCCAAAGCAUUGGAGUUAACUGCUCGAGAAUGUCUCUCGGCUCAUCCUGACGCAACUGACUCUUAUAGUACAUGUUCCGCGUAUUCAGGGAUCGAAGAGGAACUUAAAGAGGAUGCUGACGGAGGCCAAGAUCCUGCACCGGCGGAAGACCCAUCCAUUUCUCCCCGGGAAGAGAGUAUAUGACUCUCUCCCCUGAGUUCCGAUAGCGAUGAAGUUCAAAUUUUUCUUCUUUUUCUUUUGUUGUUUUCCCUUUGUACCUUUGUACUUAUGUCGUUUGGCAUAUUGAUAACUAAAGAAGGCUUUUUGUUUAAGUAUUGCUCAAAGUUCAUUCAUUUUGCGUCGAACUAAAUAAAGCUUCGGGUGUAUUUUCUUCCGAUAGCUUUUGGGUUCUGGGCAUAAAUUCUUCCGGAACCAACCCUUUACUAUGAGGGUUUCAUAAGAGAGGGACCUCUUAUGUUUACAAUGCUCUUGAAGAGGACGUCUCUUAUUUAUUCUGGCACAAGCAGUUGAAGUUCUUUGUUAACUUUCAAAUGAUAAAAUUAACUUAUCGUUUUGUCAAGAAAUAAGAUAAAAACAAAAGGACUUUAAUUUAUUCCUUCCAUCUUUAAAAGUACAUAAGCAUUCGAUUGCUAAAAAUAAUUGCCAAUACAUGUGGCUAAUUUUGGUAGUAAAUCUGAUACAGGUUCAUCAAGUAAUAAGAGCAUGGUGAAAUGCACAAUAUUGUCCUAAACUAAAACCAUUAUUUCAAGCAGUUCUAGCGGUGAUCACAUGGGAACUUUGGAAGAGGAGAAAUACAAUGAAAUAUGGAAGUACACUAUCCUUCAAUAGGGUGCUUAAUGAAGUGAACAAGACACUACAUUACCUAGAAAGAGUGAGGUAUCCAUGGAUGUCAGGCAUCCCCCUUUUAUGGCCAGAACUGAUAAGAUACUUAGAGAGUUAUAAGCCAUAUGUUGUGACCAAGAAAGUGACAUGGCAGCUUCCUUAUAAAAGGUGGUUCAAGUGCAACAUAGAUGGUGCAUCAAGAGGUAAACCUGGACCAAGCUCAUAUGGAUUUUGUGUGCGAGAUCAUGUGGGUGAUUUGGUUUUUGCUAAGGCAAGUGAAAUAGGAGAGGCAACCAAUAUAGUGGAAGAAGCAAAGGCUAUUUGUGAGGUGUUAGAAUACUGUGUUGAAAGGCAAUUACAUCCAAUGAUUAUGUAGACUGAUUCCUUGGUGAUGAGAAAGAUUAUUGAUGGGGAAUGGGCAACACCAUGGUGUAUAAGUGUUGAAGUGAGGAAGCUCAUGCAGAUAAAGAAUAGCUACAAUGUUCUCUUUCAGCAUUUACUAAGGGAAGGGAACACUGUUGCAGAUUUUCUUGCUAACCUAGCUUUCUCUUUUGCAGGCACACUAACAUUUCAAUCGUUUCAUGACUUGCCAAUCGCAGCAAAAAAACUGAUCAACAUGGACUUACCACAAAUUUCUAACCUUCAUAUUAGGAUUGCAAAGAGAAGAGAACCUGAUUGAUGAUCAAAACAUAUAAUACUUUGCCUCUCCUUGCCUCAUAUUUCUGCAUUCAUAAUAGGCAAGAUAAUCAUUUUAAACCAAGUAGGGAAGACAACCACAACACUCCUCACUUCAGUACCAACAAAUACAACAGGCAAUCAACAUUCCAAUAACAGUCACCCACCAGUUUCUCACAACUCUAGGUUUUUAAAUAGCAUGUCAUCAUAAGCAUGCAGCUGCUAAAACCAAUGACCAACAACUUGCUCUUAAACUCUUGUCUUACUCACAUUGGUAUUAGCAUUGUUUGUUGACUUUGAAUGUGAAAUACCACAAGCACUUCUUUGUAGGGUGUAGCUGAUUGAUUGGUUAUAGUUGACUUUACACAAACCCAUAACAAUAUAUUUGAGCUACUGCUUCUGCGUUGCUACUGGUCUUUUAUACCCCAGGCACUUCUUUGGAGGGGGUAGCUGAUUGGUUGGUUAUAGCUGACUUGCGCAAACAUAAUACAAUAUAUUUGAGCUUCUGUUUAUUCAUUGUUACUGGGCUUAAAUCCACCACAUGACCUUCACUAUAACAAGCAAGACACACUCACACAGAUUUCCUUUUGCUGUUAUGCUUAGGGUGGUAUUGCAUGGUUGUGUAUUAUCCCAUUACUUCACAAUGGUAUUAGCAUGACUUCAUUCUCAUUAUGGGGGUAGUUUGACGAUAUACAACAAUAAUAUACCAACCAAGCAGCAGCCACAACCUUCCUACCUCACUUACAACCAAGCUUCUUCAAUACUCCCAGAACACACAAGAACCUGGGAACACAAACUCCCUUCGUAACUUUGUUUGCUACGUUUUGCAGGUUCCAAAAACAGGCUCACCUAACUGAGGGAAUGUCAUGGACUUAUUUUCUAUAGAUAUAUCAACAGAAGAUCAGUUAACAGGAUACUCAAUCUGUACUUCAACAUUAUCUGGCCUAGAUAAAAGCUAAUACUGUUGAGGCAUCUACAGUAUUAGUGCAGAGAAUUACAGAAACGGGAACCCCAAUGAUUUUUGGCUGCUACAGCAUAAGCGCAUAGUUCCAGUCCAGUAUUUUUUAGUUUCUGCAGCAAUUAUGUAUGGAGAUUUCUACUACUCCAAUGUUGCUGCCACAACACACUCAUCCUUGAAGCUAUGGAGUAUCAAUUUGUAUUGUUUCUGCACAUCAACAAUUGUUGGUUCCAGAGAUAAGCUCAGAUGUUUGAGGCAUCUGCAGUUUCAUUUGGUGCAGGGAAUUAUAGCAUUGUCAACCCCCAGUACUUGUGCUUCACUAGCAUUGAAUCUCCAGUUCAAGUCCAAUAUGCCAACUGUGAAGACAUCCAAUUGGACCCUCAUAUCCCUCAAACUUGACAACUUGGAUUUUUAUUUUACUGGUGUGUUUGGGAAGUAUUGCAUGGUUGUGUGAUAUCUUAUUACUUCCCAGUGGUAUUAGCAUGGCAUCAUUCUUAUUCUGGUGGUGGUUUGAUGACAUACAACAACAACAUACCAACCAAGCAGCAACCACAUCCCUCCUACCAAGCUCACAGACCAAGCAUCUUCAAGGGUCCAAGAACACACGAACAUGGGAGCAGGAACUCUCAUCCUUACUUGUUUGCUACAUUUUGCAAGUUCAAAAUAAAGGCUUGCCUAAUUGAGACAAAGACAAGGAGGGAUAUAAUACAAAUACACCAACAUAACAUCAUUUCACAGCAGGCUCAAGAUGCACUGUUUCAGCAAAUCAACUCAAGUUGGUUCUAGAGAUAAACUCAUAUUGUUGAGGCAUAUGCAGUCUCAACUGGUGUAGGGUUACAACACCGGAAAACUCCAGUACUUUUUAGUUUCUGCAGCACCAAAAUAUAAAUAUUGCUGCUAUUAUGAUUUUUGGACCUGCUUGGGUUGUUGAUUGAGCAGUUUCUAUUAAGAUUACAGACUAUGCUGAUUACUUUGGACUGUGUCUUUUUUGCAUGGAGAUUUUUCAACGCUCAGUGGUAUUAGCAUUACAUAAUACUCAAUAUGUGGUUGUUGCAUCACCAUAUAGGAAGAUACAAUUCAAUUUCACCAGCUAGUCAUCGUUCAUGCUACAGUGUUGCUGCCACACCAUCCAACAAUCCUCAUUAUGGGUAAGACAUACAACCAUAUGGGAAUGAAUACAACUACUUCUUCUUCCUUAUGCAAAUUCAACUGGCAUUAGUUGGUCUGUUGGUCCAAAAUUACAACUACAACCUGGAUCUCAAGCAAAGAAGUAUCAAAUGCCUUUUGUUUGUAUCAACAACAUUGCUGAAAUUACUCAGCCCCAAAGUACUGAUGUCCGAACUUUAUUGAUGUACAUCUUGUGGAUUUAUACAUACCUACUCCUUUGGAUUGCAACAAAUGGUGCCUGGUGAGAUCUUUGUAGGUGCUAUAAGGAAUUAUUUGCAACUGGUGUGUGAAUUCAUUGUCGUCGGCAACAAUUGGAUGUUUCAAAUUAGUAGUUUAGUACUUUUAGUUUAUCAUUAUGCUACUGCUACAUUGUAUUUGAUAGUAAUAGCCAUUGGCUUUCUUUGUUUAGUUAUUUUCUUUUACUUGAACCCUAUGUAACUUUGUCCCGGUUUGGGACUUAUUAUAUCUGAGACUGCCAGGCANNNNNNNNNNNNNNNNNNNNNNNNNNNNNNNNNNNNNNNNNNNNNNNNNNNNNNNNNNNNNNNNNNNNNNNNNNNNNNNNNNNNNNNNNNNNNNNNNNNNNNNNNNNNNNNNNNNNNNNNNNNNNNNNNNNNNNNNNNNNNNNNNNNNNNNNNNNNNNNNNNNNNNNNNNNNNNNNNNNNNNNNNNNNNNNNNNNNNNNNNNNNNNNNNNNNNNNNNNNNNNNNNUGUUCGAAUGCAAAGUAUGCGAUUGAAACACUAGAAGUCUUGCUCCUUUGAGAAAAAAUACUUGUGAACGGUUGGAUAAUCUUUGGUCCGAUGGCAAGCUUAGUUUCCCGUUAGGAACUUUGCCAUUGAGCCAAAGACUAUAUAAACAUCCCAUAAUGGCUUGUUGUUUCAGUGCCUUGUCAUUAAAAGGUCUUAAUGUUGUUGAUGAUGCUCCCUUCAUAGUAUGUUUUCCGUUACUGCCUCGUUAAAAACCUUGCCAGAAAAAUCCGAUUAGGACAAACAUUUGUCGAAAGGAAAAAUAGUGCAUCACAUACUUUCAGUAUAAGUAUGAUCCAUCAGUAGUAAUACAUUUUAAGGUGAGUGACGUUCCAGUUUCUUGGAAAUUUGAGUCUAUCUUGAUUCUCCAGCUCAUAUAAUCCCAUUCCAGUGACAGCUGAAACUCGGUAGGGACCUUCCAACGUCGGACCUAGCUUUCCAGCGUUAAUUUUCCGAGUGUUUUGAGUCAUUUUCCGCAAAACUAAGUCUCCUACUUUAAAGUAGCAUAGAUUGGCCCUCCGUUUAUAGUAUCUUUCCAUCCUUUAUUUCUGAGCCACCAUCCUCGCGUGUGCCAAGUCCCUGUGUUCAUCGUACAGUUCCAACUUUACCAGCAAUGCCUCAUUAUUUGCUAUUUUUUCUGCUUAGAAGAACCAUAAGGUUGGUUCUCCUACUUCCACCGGGAUCAGAGCAUCAGAGCCGUAUACGAUAUAAAAAGGUGUCUCUCCCGUGCGUGAUUUUUCCGUUGUCCAGUACACCUAUACUAUGCCCGAUAACUCUUCUGGUCAUUUUCCUUUAGUUGUUUCUAACCUUUUUUUGAAGUUUAAAACAAUCACCUUAUUGGUUGAUUCCGACUCCAUUAGCGCUCAGAUGAUAUGGUAAGGAAGUAAUCCUUUUGAUUUUCAGGUCUUCAAGAAAUUAUGUGAUCUUGGAGACUAUGAACUGUGGUAUGUUAUCAUAGGCGAUCUCCUUCAGUAUUCCGAAUCGGAAAAUUAUGUUUUCCCAUAGGAAGUCGACCACUCUGCGCUCACCGAUCUUUUAGUAAGGACCUGCUUAAACCCAUUUAGUAAAGUAAUCGAUUAAAUUAAAAGAAAUCUUUAUUUUUCGGGACCCGUUAACAAUGGACCAACUAUAUCCAUCCCCUAUUUCAUGAAUGGCCAUGGGGAAAAAAUCGAAUGCAAGAGCUCCGCCGGCUGGUGUACCAAUUGUGCGUGGAGCUGGCACAUGUCGCAUUUCUGAACGAACAUCUUUGUGUCUUGCUCUAUCUGGGCCCAGUAAUAUCCUGCCCUAAUCAACUUUAGCGCCAACGAAUAUGCACCUGAAUCGUUGUCGCAAAUUCCUUCAUGGACCUCCCUCAUGACGUAGUCUGCCUUCGACGCUCCUAAACAUCGGGCGAAUAGGCCUUGGAACGAUCUUCUAUAUAACUUUCCACCCAAGAGGCUGUAGCGAUCCGUUUUGGUGCGUAGUUCCCGGGAUGCCAUCGGGUCGUAGGGCAGCUUGCCAUGUUGAAUGUAAUCGAUGAACUCAUUCCUCCAGUCCCAGACUAGAUUGUUGUAUUUACUUCAAAAUAGCCAUCCACAUCCAGUACCGAAUGCAUAAGUUGAUAGAUAGUACUAGAGUCAAAUCCUUUUAUCUCUGUGGACGACCCCAAAUUGUCCAAUGCAUCUGCUUCUAUGUUCUUUUCUCUCGGGAUGUGUAUGACCACCCACUAUCUGAAUCGUAUAAGAAAAGUUUGAACUUUAAUCACAUACUGUUGUAUAUGUUCCUCUUUUGUGCCGAAAAUUCCAUAUACUUGGUUUACUACCAGUUGGGAAUCACAUUUGAUUUCAAUAACCUCGGAGCCAAGUCUCUAAGCCAAUUCAAGUCCUGCAACCAAAGCUUCAUACUCAGCUUCAUUGUUAGUCAAUGGAAUAGUUUUUAUGGCCCGCCUUAAGGUUUCCCCCGAAGGAGUGAUUAGGACCACCCCGAGCCCAGACCCUUUCACAUUGGAAGCUCCGUCAGUGAACAAGGUUCAAACUCCUAAUGUCAUUUCCGACGCCAUCACCGCUUCUUUUACAGCAAAAGGCAGUAAUUCGGGACUGAAAUCGACCACAAAGUUGGCAAAAACUUGUGAUUUGAUCGCAUUCCUAGGCUUAUAUUCAAUAUCAAAUUCACUGCCCAUUUGGCCAACCGCCCGGACAACUCAAGUUUGUGAAGGACAUUCUGUAGGGGAAAGGCUAUCACAACGGCUAUCAGAUGGCAUUGGAAAUAAGGCCUAAGAUUUCGAGAGGCGACUACGAGAGCUACGACCAGUUUUUUCGAGGUGCGGAUAACGAGUUUCCGCUCCUGACAAAAAUUUGCUAACAUAAUAGACAUGAGAUUUCAUACCUUUGUCCUCUCGGACUAGAAUGACACGUAGCGCUACCUCUGAGACUGCCAAGUAUAUUAGCAGAUGUUCACCUUCCCCCAGUUUUAAUAGUAGCGAAGGGCUUGAUAGAUAACGUUUCAAGUCUUUUAAUUCCUGUUGGCAUUCCGGAGUCUAUUUGAAAUUGUUCUUCUUCUUUAGAAGCGAGAAGAAGUGAUGAAAUAUUUCCGAAUAUAGAGAAAUGAACCUGCUUAGAGCGGCUAAUCUUCCGGUUAGCCUUUGGACUUCUUUCACACUUGUCAGCUGGUCUAGGAUAUCCUUGAUGGCAUUGUUCUUAUUGGUAUUUACCUCGAUCUCCCUUUGCGAAACCAAGAAACCUAAGAACUUACCGGAGCUAACCCCGAACGUGCAUUUUUCGGGGUUGAGUUUAAUGUUGUGCUUCCUCAGGAUAUCAAAGAUUUCCUGGAGGUGUUUUAAAUGAUCACUUGCAUUCAAAGACUUGACCAGCAUGUCAUCUAUGUAUACUUCCAUUAUUUUACCUAUUUGUUUCUCGAACAUCUUAUUCACGAGCCUCUGAUAAGUAGUUGUCGCAUUUUUAAGCCUGAAUGACAUUACAUUAUAACAAUAUAUGCCAAAGUCUGUUAUGAACAAAGUUUUUUCCUAAUCCUCUGGGUUCAUCUUAAUUUCACAGUACCCAGAAUAGGUAUCAAGAAAACUCAUUAACUCGUGCCCGGCCGUUGCAUCAAUCAUUUGAUCGAUGUUCGUCAGUGGGAACGAGUCUUUUGGACACGCCUUAUUCAAGUCUUUAUAAUGUAUGCAUAUUCGAAAUUUGUUAUUCUUUUUUGGAACUGCAACUACAUUAGCUAGCCAGUCGAGAUACUUUACCUCCCAGAUUGAACCGAUGUCAAGUAACCGAUUACCUCUUCUUUAACAAACCUGUUUCUGACCUCGGCUAUCAGGAGCUUUUUUUUCCUUAUCGGUGGGACGUUUGGGUCCAGGCUUAGCUUGUGCACAACCACCUUUAGUGGGAUACAUGUCAUAUCCACGUGCAACCAUGCGAAACAAUCAAAGUUAGUUUAAGAAAAUUAAUAAAUCCUGACCUGAGCUCGGGAUCGAGUCCUGUUCCAAAGUGCAAUUUUCUCUCCAGGAAUUCCUCGAACAAUUCUUCUGCCCGUGGACUUGGUUGCGUAUGUCUCUUCUGGUACCUGAAAGUAUCUCGAUAGCUGGUGGGAUUCCGAUGACUACUACCAUUUAUCAUCUUCAAUCGACUUGGGAGUAGGCGUCGGUUCGUGUAAUUGCUAUUUGUUGAGUUCCUUCCCUUUACUCCUGAAAAUUGAUAUUGCGUUCAUUUCUCUCGCUGCCGGUUGGUCUCCUCUUAUUUGCUUGAUUCCCUCUAGGUUGGGAAUUUUAGUAGUUGGUGAUACGUUGAUGGUACGGCCUUCAUCUCAUGUAACCAUAGUCUACCGAGAAUUAUGUUGUAGCCCAUGUCGCUAUCCACCAUUUCAAAUAAGGUGGUCUUCGUGACCCCUUCGGCGUUUGUGGACAGCAGGAUCACACCUUGGUUUGUCACACUCGCCAAAUUGAACCCGACGAGGAGUUUUAUUGUUGGAAUGAUACUUCCGGUUAAUUUGGCUUGCUCCAGCACUCUCUACCAUAUCUUCCAAGAUAUCAAUUCUUCCUUUUUCAUGGAGGUAAGUACCUUUGUGAUAGUAUUCCUCUAUCGCUGUAGUUGUGGACUAGUACACACUUUCGGGAUGGACACCAUUACAUAUUUUACCGGUAUGGAAACCCCUCAUUGUGGCACAAUGAACCUUUCACUGGUCUUGUAUACUACUUAUGUAUCAUAGCUACAUCGAUCUCAUAGUAAUUUUCUUGUUUAGGCUAAUUCAUAGCUAAUUUAGAUACUUAACCCUUAGAGUUUUAUUAUUAUUUUUGACUCUUAAUUCGUCGAUUUCUACUUACUCGUGCUACUGUUAAUUUAAACCAAAUUCAGAAAAUCAACCAAAUACAACCUAUUCAUAUAACAUACUUCGUUAAUUCCUGAAAAAGUCUCAUGGGUUUCUCCCAAUUUUCUUAAUUUUAUCUUUAAACUCUUAAUUCAAUCCCAACAUCAUCUCUACUCAGUCCCAAAAGAAUCAUGAAUAUAAAAUAAAAUUAUCUCAAAAGAAGAAAAAUUACAUAAAAUCACCUGAAUUUUAUUGUUGAAGCUCAAGAAUUUAUGUCGAUGAUAAGGUGAAACAUGGUAUUCAGCGCUAAGAACACUUUAAACUUUUUUUCUUUCUUUUUCUUGUUGAUGCUCGUGUUGGCUAAAGGGUUUUUCUCCUUUUCAACCCUUUUUAGCUUCUAUUUCAAUUGCAGCAUAUAUGUUGCGUUCCUUUCCCCACAAAAUCCCUUUAGCUUUUGUAUUUCUUUUUUUUUUUGGUUUUC